CUUUCCCCUCAGUAGACAGCUUUGCAGGCUGUUCUUGUGUUUGCAGUCCCUGUGUAUAGCCUUCUCAAAAUACAAACGGCAUAUUUUGAGGUUGAAGACCUGAAAACUGUGACCCCUGUUGCCUAGCAACUGAGAAGCUCAGCCUCAACUCCGGGUGGGGGAGAUGAUGGAGAAAGGUACUGCAUUUUGAUAAAUUGAAGGUUUGUGGAACGCUGCAUUGAGCAAGUCUAUUGGUACCAUUUUCCAACAGCAUGUGCUCACUUCAUGUCUCUGUGCCACAUUUGGCCAAUCUAGAAAAUACUGUAUACGAGCUAUGAUUUUUCUCGAGAAUAUCAUUGCCAUGACACAGUUGAAGUCCUGCAUCCCAUGAGUCAUACACAUCUGUUGUGAAUACUGAUCUUGUCCUUGAGCUCCCCUGGGAUUCCAAAUUGGAACAUAAAGAGAAGCAAGAAAAUGGACAUUUAGCACUUAUAGGAUAAUUCUAUUGUAUUCCUGCUGAGAGAAAGAAUUUCAUACACCGAGUGCUUCUUCUGCUUGAAGCCCCUCUGCUUUGAAGUGGUGCGAUCUCCCCUUUUAACCUCAGCAGUGGGGCCACCUCAACCCAUAACAGCACUGAGAAGCAGUCAUCUUGUUUUGAGAUCACAAAGUAUGUGAGGUGUAUCCCUGGCAUCUGGACGGUGCUAGUCACGAGAGUAGAUGUUAGGUUGCGGGCAUGCCAUGCCAGCCCCGGGCACUGGAUCACAAG
rnacentral:lncRNA from 10 species